rnacentral:rRNA from 1 species
GAUGAACGCUGGCGGCGUGCCUAAUACGUGCAAGUCGAGCGAACAGACGAGGAGCUUGCUCCUCUGACGUUAGCGGCGGACGGGUGAGUAACACGUGGAUAACCUACCUAUAAGACUGGGAUAACUUCGGGAAACCGGAGCUAAUACCGGAUAACAUGUUGAACCGCAUGGUUCAACAGUGAAAGACGGUUUUGCUGUCACUUAUAGAUGGAUCCGCGUCGCAUUAGCUAGUUGGUAAGGUAACGGCUUACCAAGGCAACGAUGCGUAGCCGACCUGAGAGGGUGAUCGGCCACACUGGAACUGAGACACGGUCCAGACUCCUACGGGAGGCAGCAGUAGGGAAUCUUCCGCAAUGGGCGAAAGCCUGACGGAGCAACGCCGCGUGAGUGAAGAAGGUCUUCGGAUCGUAAAACUCUGUUAUUAGGGAAGAACAAAUGUGUAAGUAACUAUGCACGUCUUGUCGGUACCUAAUCAGAAAGCCACGGCUAACUACGUG